UACGUAGGGUCCGAGCGUUGUCCGGAUUCAUUGGGCGUAAAGAGCUCGUAGGCGGCUCAGUAAGUCAGAUGUGAAAACUCAGGGCUCAACCCGGAGACGCCAUCUGAUACUGCUGUGGCUUGAGUCUGGUAGGGGAGCACGGAAUUCCUGGUGUAGCGGUGAAAUGCGCAGAUAUCAGGAGGAACACCUGUGGCGAAGGCGGCAUCCUGGACCGAUACUGACGCUGAGGAGCGAAAGCCAGGGGAGCAAACGGG
rnacentral:rRNA from 1 species